rnacentral:rRNA from 1 species
CCUACGGGAGGCAGCAGUGGGGGAUAUUGCACAAUGGGGGAAACCCUGAUGCAGCGACGCCGCGUGGGUGAAGAAGCGCCUCGGCGCGUAAAGCCCUGUCAGCAGGGAAGAAAAUGACGGUACCUGAAGAAGAAGCCCCGGCUAACUACGUGCCAGCAGCCGCGGUAAUACGUAGGGGGCAAGCGUUAUUCGGAUUUACUGGGUGUAAAGGGGGCGCAGACGGCGAUGCAAGCCAGGAGUGAAAGCCCGGGCCCAACCCCGGGAGUGCUCUUGGAACUGCGUGGCUAGAGUGCAGGAGGGGCAGGCGGAAUUCCUGGUGUAGCGGUGAAAUGCGUAGAUAUCAGGAGGAACACCGGUGGCGAAGGCGGCCUGCUGGACUGCAACUGACGUUGAGGCCCGAAAGCGUGGGGAGCAAACAGGAUUAGAUACCCGAGUAGUC